GUGGCGAGUGGCGAACGGGUGAGUAAUACAUCGGAACGUGUCCUAGAGUGGGGGAUAGCCCGGCGAAAGCCGGAUUAAUACCGCAUACGCUCUAUGGAGGAAAGCGGGGGAUCUUCGGACCUCGCGCUCAAGGGGCGGCCGAUGGCGGAUUAGCUAGUUGGUAGGGUAAAGGCCUACCAAGGCGACGAUCCGUAGCUGGUCUGAGAGGACGACCAGCCACACUGGGACUGAGACACGGCCCAGACUCCUACGGGAGGCAGCAGUGGGGAAUUUUGGACAAUGGGGGCAACCCUGAUCCAGCAAUGCCGCGUGUGUGAAGAAGGCCUUCGGGUUGUAAAGCACUUUUGUCCGGAAAGAAAUCCUCUGCCCUAAUACGGCGGGGGGAUGACGGUACCGGAAGAAUAAGCACCGGCUAACUACGUGCCAGCAGCCGCGGUAAUACGUAGGGUGCGAGCGUUAAUCGGAAUUACUGGGCGUAAAGCGUGCGCAGGCGGUUCGCUAAGACCGAUGUGAAAUCCCCGGGCUUAACCUGGGAACUGCAUUGGUGACUGGCGAGCUAGAGUGUGGCAGAGGGGGGUAGAAUUCCACGUGUAGCAGUGAAAUGCGUAGAGAUGUGGAGGAAUACCGAUGGCGAAAGCAGCCCCCUGGGCUAACACUGACGCUCAUGCACGAAAGCGUGGGGGAGCAAACAGGAUUAGAUACCCUGUUAGUCCACGCCCUAAACGAUGUCACUAGUGUGGGGAUUCAUUUCCUUAGUAACGUAGCUACGCGGUGAGUGAACGCCUGGGGAGUACGCUCGCAGAUGAGACUCAAGUACUGACGGAUUGCACAA
rnacentral:rRNA from 1 species